rnacentral:rRNA from 1 species
CCUAGGGGAGGCAGCAGUGGGGAAUAUUGCACAAUGGGCGCAAGCCUGAUGCAGCCAUGCCGCGUGUAUGAAGAAGGCCUUCGGGUUGUAAAGUACUUUCAGCGAGGAGGAAGGCAUUAAGGUUAAUAACCUUGGUGAUUGACGUUACCCGCAGAAGAAGCACCGGCUAACUCCGUGCCAGCAGCCGCGGUAA